rnacentral:rRNA from 1 species
GUGCCAGCCGCCGCGGUAAGACGAAGGUGGCGAGCGUUGCUCGGAAUCACUGGGCUUAAAGCGGGCGUAGGCGGCCCGGUCAGUCGGGUGUGAAAUCCCUUGGCUCAACCAAGGAACGGCGCCCGAUACUACCGGGCUUGAGGCGUCUAGGGGCGACUGGAACUCUCGGUGGAGCGGUGAAAUGCGUAGAUAUCGAGAGGAACGCCAAUGGUGAAGACAGGUCGCUGGGGGCGUCCUGACGCUGAGGCCCGAAAGCUAGGGGAGCAAACGGGAUUAGAUACCCCGGUAGUCCUAGCCCUAAACGAUGCACACUAGGUGGGGGAGACUCUGACAGUCAUCCCUGCCGCAGGGAAACCGUUAAGUGUGCCGCCUGGGAAGUACGGUCGCAAGGCUAAAACUCAAAUGAAUUGACGGGG